rnacentral:tRNA from 1 species
AUUUGUAUAGUAUAAAUAUUAUUUCUAACUUCCAAUUAGAAGACCUGAAAUCUCAGUACAAAUA